CCGAACCGACUAAUGUUGAAAAAUUAGCGGAUGACCUGUGGCUGGGGGUGAAAGGCCAAUCAAACCGGGAGAUAGCUGGUUCUCCCCGAAAGCUAUUUAGGUAGCGCCUCGUGAAUUCAUCUCCGGGGGUAGAGCACUGUUUCGGCUAGGGGGCCAUCCCGGCUUACCAACCCGAUGCAAACUGCGAAUACCGGAGAAUGUUAUCACGGGAGACACACGGCGGGUGCUAACGUCCGUCGUGAAGAGGGAAACAACCCAGACCGCCAGCUAAGGUCCCAAAGUCAUGGUUAAGUGGGAAACGAUGUGGGAAGGCCCAGACAGCCAGGAUGUUGGCUUAGAAGCAGCCAUCAUUUAAAGAAAGCGUAAUAGCUCACUGGUCGAGUCGGCCUGCGCGGAAGAUGUAACGGGGCUAAACCAUGCACCGAAGCUGCGGCAGCGACGCU
rnacentral:rRNA from 1 species